GAUGAACGCUGGCGGCGUGCCUAAUACAUGCAAGUCGAGCGAACAGACGAGGAGCUUGCUCCUCUGACGUUAGCGGCGGACGGGUGAGUAACACGUGGAUAACCUACCUAUAAGACUGGGAUAACUUCGUGAAACCGGAGCUAAUACCGGAUAAUAUAUUGAACCGCAUGGUUCAAUAGUGAAAGACGGUUUUGCUGUCACUUAUAGAUGAUUCCGCGCCGCAUUAGCUAGUUGGUAAGGUAACGGCUUACCAAGGCAACGAUGCGUAGCCGACCUGAGAGGGUGAUCGGCCACACUGGAACUGAGACACGGUCCAGACUCCUACGGGAGGCAGCAGUAGGGAAUCUUCCGCAAUGGGCGAAAGCCUGACGGAGCAACGCCGCGUGAGUGAUGAAGGCCUUCGGAUCGUAAAACUCUGUUAUUAGGGAAGAACAAAUGUGUAAGUAACUAUGCACGUCUUGACGGUACCUAAUCAGAAAGCCACGGCUAACUACGUG
rnacentral:rRNA from 1 species